AUUGAACGCUGGCGGCAUGCCUUACACAUGCAAGUCGAACGGCAGCACGGGAGCAAUCCUGGUGGCGAGUGGCGAACGGGUGAGUAAAGUAUCGGAACGUGCCCAGUCGUGGGGGAUAACGUAGCGAAAGUUACGCUAGUACCGCAUACGAUCUAUGGAUGAAAGCGGGGGAUCGCAAGACCUCGCGCGAUUGGAGCGGCCGAUAUCAGAUUAGGUAGUUGGUGGGGUAAAGGCCCACCAAGCCGACGAUCUGUAGCUGGUCUGAGAGGACGACCAGCCACACUGGGACUGAGACACGGCCCAGACUCCUACGGGAGGCAGCAGUGGGGAAUUUUGGACAAUGGGCGAAAGCCUGAUCCAGCCAUGCCGCGUGCAGGAUGAAGGCCUUCGGGUUGUAAACUGCUUUUGUACGGAACGAAAAGGACUGCCCUAAUACGGUGGUCCCAUGACGGUACCGUAAGAAUAAGCACCGGCUAACUACGUGCCAGCAGCCGCCGCGG
rnacentral:rRNA from 1 species